UACAGAGGGGGCAAGCGUUAUUCGGAAUUAUUGGGCGUAAAGGGCGCGUAGGCGGCUUUGCAAGUGGCGGGUGAAAGCCCUCGGCUUAACCGAGGAACUGCCUGUCAGACUGUGAGGCUUGAGACCGGGAGAGGGUGAGUGGAAUUCCCAGUGGUAGCGGUGAAAUGCGUAGAUAUUGGGAGGAACACCAGUGGCGAAGGCGGCUCACUGGACCGGAACUGACGCUGAGGCGC
rnacentral:rRNA from 1 species